rnacentral:lncRNA from 1 species
CGCCUACAUAUAAAGGUGGUGCGCGUUUUGCACACCCCCUUUUUCCCAGCGGAGCGCCUACGAUGCCCGCGCACGGUAAGGAGCGCGGGAUGCGAGGUCUGCCGCUGCCCCGGCGGGGAGGGGGGAUGGCCUCUUCCUUUCGCUUGGACGUUGGGCCUGUCUCGUACUGCUUGAGGCUGGAGCCGGCAGGUGUGAUGGAGAGGUGGUUUUCAGUGGUGCCAAGUACGUUGUACAUUAAGCACCUGAUGGAAGGACCAUCGCAAGUAGAAGAAUACUUGGUACAGACAAGUGGAUUUUCCUGA